UUCCAUUGUGCUGAACUUUGUUUCCCAGAG
rnacentral:piRNA from 1 species